rnacentral:misc_RNA from 1 species
AGAACCUGGAAUAGUGUUAGACUGCUCUUGAGGGUUCGCUGUGUCGAGCAAGGAGACCGAAACUGGCGGAACGGACUUCUCUUUCGACCGUGGGCUGGUGGACGACUGUCUGUUUUGCUGUUCUCUGAUUGCUGUGUACUUGCUAGCGAGGCUUUCUCGGGUGUUGCUAUAUCUCUGGCCCUCUUCUUUCAGGUUUCUUGAUUGGGUAGAUAUUGUGUGCUUUUCCA